UGGGAGCUGUUCCCGGCUGAGAUGCAGAGGCGACGACGCCGCCUCCGGUCCCUUAAACCUGAUCCGGGUAAUGCCGGCGUAGGAAGUGGACGAGU
rnacentral:ncRNA from 1 species